UAUUGUAUAUCAUUUUUUUAUUAUGGUCUUUUAUGCUGUAAUGGAGUUUGGGAUAUGGUGGGAUAAUAUAUGGAUAAGUAGGCUAAUGGUUCAGAGUAUGGUAAUCAUUUUUUUUACUAUGAUCAUUCUAAAGUAUCACUGUCGGACUUUCUUAAACAUUGUUGUUCUUCGGUCAACUGGUCUGGACUUCUCAAUCAUUCAAUUGAGUUCCCUUUUGGUGAGUGCUCCUAAGUAUUAUUUUUUUCAUUUUUUAUUUUUUAUUUUUUUAUUUAAGCUCUUUUUUUAGCUUUUUUUUU
rnacentral:lncRNA from 1 species